UACGGGGGGGGCAAGCGUUGUUCGGAAUUACUGGGCGUAAAGGGCUCGUAGGCGGCCAACUAAGUCGGACGUGAAAUCCCCAGGCUCAACCUGGGAACUGCGUCCGAUACUGGAUGGCUUGAAUCCGGGAGAGGGAUGCAGAAUUCCAGGUGUAGCGGUGAAAUGCGUAGAUAUCUGGAGGAACACCUGAGGCGAAGGCGGGCUACUGGGCUGAUACUGACGCUGAGGCGCGAAAGCCAGGGGAGCAAACGGG
rnacentral:rRNA from 1 species